rnacentral:rRNA from 1 species
AAUGAGCCUGCGAGUUGUGGUGUCUGGCAAGGUUAAGCAAACGCGAAGCCGUAGCGAAAGCGAGUCUGAAUAGGGCGCUUAGUCAGAUGCUGCAGACCCGAAACGAAGUGAUCUAUCCAUGAGCAAGUUGAAGCUAGUGUAAGAACUAGUGGAGGACUGAACCCAUAGGCGUUGAAAAGCCCCGGGAUGACUUGUGGAUAGGGGUGAAAGGCCAAUCAAACUUCGUGAUAGCUGGUUCUCUCCGAAAUAUAUUUAGGUAUAGCGUUGUGUCGUAAUAUAAGGGGGUAGAGCACUGAAUGGGCUAGGGCAUACACCAAUGUACCAAACCCUAUCAAACUCCGAAUACCUUAUAUGUAAUCACAGCAGUCAGGCGGCGAGUGAUAAAAUCCGUCGUCAAGAGGGAAACAACCCAGACUACCAGCUAAGGUCCCUAAAUCUUACUUAAGUGGAAAACGAUGUGAAGUUACUUAAACAACCAGGAGGUUGGCUUAGAAGCAGCCAUCCUUUAAAGAAAGCGUAAUAGCUCACUGGUCUAGUGAUUUUGCGCGGAAAAUAUAACGGGGCUAAAGUAAGUACCGAAGCUGUAGACUUGAUUUUAUCAAGUGGUAGGAGAGCGUUCUAUUUGCGCCGAAGGUAUACCGGUAAGGAGUGCUGGAGCGAAUAGAAGUGAGCAUGCAGGCAUGAGUAGCGAUAAUUAAUGUGAGAAUCAUUAACGCCGUAAACCCAAGGUUUCCUACGCGAUGCUCGUCAUCGUAGGGUUAGUCGGGUCCUAAGUCGAGUCCGAAAGGGGUAGACGAUGGCAAAUUGGUUAAUAUUCCAAUACCAACAUUAGUGUGCGAUGGAAGGACGCUUAGGGCUAAGGGGGCUAGCGGAUGGAAGUGCUAGUCUAAGGUCGUAGGAGGUUAUACAGGCAAAUCCGUAUAACAAUACUCCGAGAACUGAAAGGCUUUUUGAAGUCUUCGGAUGGAUAGAAGAACCCCUGAUGCCGUCGAGCCAAGAAAAGUUUCUAAGUUUAGCUAAUGUUGCCCGUACCGUAAACCGACACAGGUGGGUGGGAUGAGUAUUCUAAGGCGCGUGGAAGAACUCUCUUUAAGGAACUCUGCAAAAUAGCACCGUAUCUUCGGUAUAAGGUGUGGUUCGCUUCGUAUUAGGAUUUACUCCGAAAGCGAAGAAACUUACAACAAAGAGUCCCUCCCGACUGUUUACCAAAAACACAGCACUCUGCUAACUCGUAAGAGGAUGUAUAGGGUGUGACGCCUGCCCGGUGCUCGAAGGUUAAUUGAUGGGGUUAGCAUUAGCGAAGCUCUUGAUCGAAGCCCGAGUAAACGGCGGCCGUAACUAUAACGGUCCUAAGGUAGCGAAAUUCCUUGUCGGUUAAAUACCGACCUGCAUGAAUGGCGUAACGAGAUGGGAGCUGUCUCAAAGAGGGAUCCAGUGAAAUUGUAGUGGAGGUGAAAAUUCCUCCUACCCGCGGCAAGACGGAAAGACCCCGUGGACCUUUACUACAGCUUGACACUGCUAUUUGGAUAAGAAUGUGCAGGAUAGGUGGGAGGCUUUGAGUAUAUGACGCCAGUUGUAUAUGAGCCAUUGUUGAGAUACCACUCUUUCUUAUUUGGGUAGCUAACCAGCUUGAGUUAUCCUCAAGUGGGACAAUGUCUGGUGGGUAGUUUGACUGGGGCGGUCGCCUCCCAAAUAAUAACGGAGGCUUACAAAGGUUGGCUCAGAACGGUUGGAAAUCGUUCGUAGAGUAUAAAGGUAUAAGCCAGCUUAACUGCAAGACAUACAAGUCAAGCAGAGACGAAAGUCGGUCUUAGUGAUCCGGUGGUUCUGUGUGGAAGGGCCAUCGCUCAAAGGAUAAAAGGUACCCCGGGGAUAACAGGCUGAUCUCCCCCAAGAGCUCACAUCGACGGGGAGGUUUGGCACCUCGAUGUCGGCUCAUCGCAUCCUGGGGCUGGAGCAGGUCCCAAGGGUAUGGCUGUUCGCCAUUUAAAGCGGUACGCGAGCUGGGUUCAGAACGUCGUGAGACAGUUCGGUCCCUAUCUGCCGUGGGCGUAAGAAGAUUGAAGAGAUUUGACCCUAGUACGAGAGGACCGGGUUGAACAAACCACUGGUGUAGCUGUUGUUCUGCCAAGAGCAUCGCAGCGUAGCUAAGUUUGGAAAGGAUAAACGCUGAAAGCAUCUAAGCGUGAAGCCAACUCUAAGAUGAAUCUUCUCUAAGCUCUCUAGAAGACUACUAGUUUGAUAGGCUGGGUGUGUAAUGGAUGAAAGUCCUUUAGCUGACCAGUACUAAUAGAGCGUUUGGCUUAUCUUUAAUAAAGCAU